rnacentral:lncRNA from 1 species
CAUCGUGCGACGAGUGCUCGCGCGUGCGACAUCGUUCGUUCCUCGCGAGAUCGUGCGACGAGUGAAAAGAAACCUCGCGGAUCCGAGAAACAUUUAAUUUUUGAUCGUAUUUUUCGAACGACCGAACGAUUUUUGUUUCUUUUUAUUAUUAUUAUUAUUAUUAUUAUUAUUAUUAUUAUUAUUAUUGAACAUUUAGACAAUAUUAAGAGUGAUUUAUUUCUAUCUAAUCAAAGACUGGAUAAACAACAACUAUUUGGAUAAACUUUGGUGAUAAAUCUGUAUAGUUUUGGAAGAUCACUUUACGAUUGGUAACACAACAUAAUCGUUAAGAGAAAAAGAUAGAGAUACAUAUACAUACAUAGUUGAAGAAGUCUGCUGCUGGUUGUUUCGGUGAGGGAAGAAGAGAAAGAGAAAGAGGAAAGGAGUGGAGAGGGGGAAAGUCGAGGGCGCAAGCGUGCACGUGCUCUUUGCGCGUUCCUAUACCCUAAGCAGUCUGUCCCACUAUCAGAAGUGGCACCGAGGACGGAGAAAACGCGGAGGCUAGUCGUCGUCCCUCCGUUGCAAGCACCCCUCCCCGAGUUCGCGGCAGCACCCCUCCAACGUGCACGGAGGACCACCACCGCCGCCGCCACCCUCAACGUCGACGACUGUAUAACAACCACCACGACGACGACGACGACGAGGACGUCGUCGUCGACGGAAACGUUGAAGACAACGAC